AUAAAAAGAAAAGUAACGUCACCGCCGAGUUGUUUCCAUUUCCGGGUAAUGGCUGCGGUUUACACGCACCUGCUGUCUUUUGCACGCGUGAAAUGAUCACCGCCGCCGUCGUUGCCGCUCCGGGAAUAAAACAAAUCAACCGUGACAUUUUCGACAGCCCACUCUAAACUGUGUGCAAAAACCGUUUGGAGAAAAGUCUCGA